rnacentral:rRNA from 1 species
GGGUUGGGGGUGUAAAGCUUUUGCGGUGUGGGAUGGGCCCGCGGCCUAUCAGCUUGUUGGUGGGGUAAUGGCCUACCAAGGCGACGACGGGUAGCCGGCCUGAGAGGGUGACCGGCCACACUGGGACUGAGAUACGGCCCAGACUCCUACGGGAGGCAGCAGUGGGGAAUAUUGCACAAUGGGCGCAAGCCUGAUGCAGCGACGCCGCGUGAGGGAUGACGGCCUUCGGGUUGUAAACCUCUUUCAAUAGGGACGAAGCGCAAGUGACGGUACCUAUAGAAGAAGGACCGGCCAACUACGUG